rnacentral:snRNA from 1 species
GUGUUUUCUUUGGCAGUAUGUAUACUAAAACUGGAAUGAUACAGAGAUUAGCACGGCCCCACACAAAGAUGACAUGCAAAUACAUGAAGCAUUCGAUGUUUUU